rnacentral:lncRNA from 1 species
AGUAAUGUUUAUGUGCAAGUUUUGCAGAGGUUGCAUGCUGCAGUCUGGAAGAAACUGCAUGACAAAUAGCAUGACAGUGGUUUCUGCAUCACAACAAUACACCAAACUACAUGUUGCUUAUUGUUCAGCAAUUCCUUACCGAGAAAAAAAUUCCUAUUGUCAACCAACCACUACUCUCCAGAUCUCAUUCCCAAUAAUUUUUGGCUGUUCCCUACUCUGAAAAUGAUUCUCAAAAGGACAUGUUUUGCAAUCAUAGAGGACAUGCACUCUUUUGUGCCAUGUGGUUAUCAAUGAUUACCUAUAUGGUGCAAAAGGGGCAGAACUAUGAGAAAAGUACAUAUAAAUGUUAAUGCUUGUGCUUGGUUUAAAACAGCCUUACAGAUACUCCUUGAGUUACGAACUUUUCAUACUUACAAAUAUGCCAUUUCAUUCUCAAAUUUCAGGAAAAAUCAAAAAUACUUCAAGAAUUUUAAACAUUUUGAUAGCAGAAUGCUCUAGCAACAAAUAUAAUGUAAAACUACACAGUU